rnacentral:pre_miRNA from 14 species
CCUCAGGGCUUUUAUACUUGUUAGACUCUGGCUAGAGUACACUAAUCGGCUGGUACCUGAUCUGGCCAAAGCCUGACUUUAAACUGCUUAAA